CCCUUAGAUGUUCUGGGCUGCACGCGCGCUACACUGAAGCUAUCAACACGUUUUCCCUCCCUGAGAAGGGCGGGUAUCCUUUUGAAUCAGCUUCGUGGUAGGGAUCGGGGCUUGCAAUUGUUCCCCGUGAACCAGGAAUUCCUAGUAGACGCGAGUCAUAAGCUCGCAUCGAUUAAGUCCCUGCCCUUUGUACACACCGCCCGUCGCUACUACCGAUUGAACGUUUUAGUGAGGCAUUUGGACCGACGCAUCUCAGUUUAACCGCUGGUUUGUGUUGGAAAGACUUCCAAACUUGAGCGUUUAGAGGAAGUAAAAGUCGUAACA
rnacentral:rRNA from 1 species